UUGAUCCAAGAAAAAAUCGAAAUAUGCCUUUAGUGCAAAAGGGUAGACUUAGGAUCAUCAUUGGGUUUAGAGAUAGGACCAUCUACUUGUUAUUCACGGUUUAUGUCAUUGGGUAGAUGGGGUGCUAUUCUUGUAUGCAUAUGUUGGCACUUACCUUUAGCAUUCUUCUAAAGCUCAGUCCUUUUUCAUUGAGAGUCCCCAGCUAUUAAAAUCUGAACCACUAAAAAGGGACCAUCUUUGUCUCAUAACCUGUCAUUAGCCAAAUGAGUUCACUAGCGAUGCAUAUCUUGAUUCAUGUUUUUGAACUUAAUGAAUGUUAAAGGGAUUGGUUGAUCUUGACGCAUUA
rnacentral:sRNA from 1 species